GACGAACGCUGGCGGCGUGCUUAACACAUGCAAGUCGAACGGUGAAGGGACCGGUUUUUGCUGGUUCUGGAUGAGUGGCGAACGGGUGAGUAACACGUGAGUAACCUGCCCCCUUCUUCUGGAUAACCGCAUGAAAGUGUGGCUAAUACGGGAUAUUCUGCGCCUGCUGCAUGGUGGGUGUGGGAAAGAUAUUGUUUCGGUGGGGGAUGGGCUCGCGGCCUAUCAGCUUGUUGGUGGGGUGAUGGCCUACCAAGGCGGUGACGGGUAGCCGGCCUGAGAGGGUGGACGGUCACACUGGGACUGAGACACGGCCCAGACUCCUACGGGAGGCAGCAGUGGGGAAUAUUGCACAAUGGGCGCAAGCCUGAUGCAGCGACGCCGCGUGAGGGAUGGAGGCCUUCGGGUUGUAAACCUCUUUGGCCAGUGAAGCAGGCCUGUCCCUUUUGUGGGUGGGUUGACGGUAGCUGGAUAAGAAGCGCCGGCUAACUACGUG
rnacentral:rRNA from 1 species